UGAAAUUGUCAUUUGAUCAUUCAAAUUCCUUCCUUUUGAUUUGAACAAUUUUCUUUAGUGAAACUAUGUUAAACUGGGUUGAAUUGAAAAUUCAAAGUUGUCAAAUUUUCAAAAUCACUGGUUGAGUUGUGAAAAAAAUGCAGAAAAUUCUACAAUUUGAUUUGACACUAAGGGCCCUCUGCUGAGGGGUGCCCAGCGCCAGCUGAUCAGGUGGGAGGACUUAUGGUCGAGUCGCGCUCAACGCCUUCUUGAGGGGCGCUCAGCGUUGGCAUCGUAGACUUCACAUUUUGGGCUUUUGUGUCCAGCUCACUUAAGCCCAAUUAAAACCUUUAACCCUAACACACUCACCCAAGUCUCUCACUCUCACACACACUCAUUUUAGAUGACCAAACAUUGUGCCCUAAGCUCUCUCUCACUUUCAUUCAUCCUUCCCACUAAUACAAAUCUCUCCAUUCACUCAAGCUCACUUUCAC
rnacentral:lncRNA from 1 species